CAGUCGCCGCGGGAAUAGGUAGGUGGCAAGCGUUGUUCGGAAUUAUUGGGCGUAAAGCGCGCGCAGGUGGUUUAGUAAGUCUGAUGUGAAAGCCCACGGCUCAACCGUGGAGGGUCAUUGGAAACUGUUAAACUUGAGUGCAGGAGAGAAAAGUGGAAUUCCUAGUGUAGCGGUGAAAUGCGUAGAGAUUAGGAGGAACACCAGUGGCGAAGGCGGCUUUUUGGCCUGUAACUGACGCUGAGGUGCGAAAGCGUGGGGAGCAAACAGGAUUAGAUACCCGUGUAGUCCCUGUCUCUUAUAC
rnacentral:rRNA from 1 species